GACCAUGUAUUUUAAUUUAGAAUAUUUGUUUUGCAGAUAAAAGGUGGAUUUCUCAUGGUUC
rnacentral:tRNA from 1 species